rnacentral:rRNA from 1 species
AUUGAACGCUGGCGGCAGGCCUAAUACAUGCAAGUCGAGCGGAGCGGCGGACGGGCGAGUAAUGCCUAGGAAUCUGCCUGGUCGCUUGGGAUAACGUCCGGAAACGGGCGCUAAUCUCGCAUAUUAUCAGAUGAGUCUAGGUGGGUGUAGUCAGUUGGUGGGGUAAAGGCCUACCUAGGCGACGUGCCGUAACUGGUCGGAGAGGAUGAUCAGUCACACUUGAACGGGGACACGGUCCAGACUCCGACGGGAGGCAGCAGUGGGGCACAUUGGACAAGGGGCGAAAGCCUGAUCCAGCCAUGCGGGGUGUGUGUGGAAGGUUUUCGGAUUGUAAAGGACGUUAAGUUGGGAAGCGUUACCAACAGAAUAAGCACCGGCUAACUUCGUGCCAGCAGCCGCGGUAAUAC